GCCUCUGUAGCUCAGUUGGUUAGAGCGUUGCACCGGAAUCGCAGCCCGUAGGUUCAAUUCCUACCAGAGGAC